rnacentral:rRNA from 1 species
UGGGGAAUAUUGCACAAUGGGCGCAAGCCUGAUGCAGCCAUGCCGCGUGUGUGAAGAAGGCCUUCGGGUUGUAAAGCACUUUCAGCGGGGAGGAAGGCGUUAAGGUUAAUAACCUUGGCGAUUGACGUUACCCGCAGAAGAAGCACCGGCUAACUCCGUGCCAGCAGCCGCGGUAAUACGGAGGGUGCAAGCGUUAAUCGGAAUUACUGGGCGUAAAGCGCACGCAGGCGGUCUGUCAAGUCGGAUGUGAAAUCCCCGGGCUCAACCUGGGAACUGCAUUGGAAACUGGCAGGCUAGAGUAUUGUAGAGGGGGGUAGAAUUCCGGGUGUAGCGGUGAAAUGCGUAGAGGUCUGGAGGAAUACCGGGGGCGAAGGCGGCCCCCUGGACAAAGACUGACGCUCAGGUGCGAAAGCGUGGGGAGCAAACAGG